rnacentral:tRNA from 1 species
UCCGGAAUGGUGUAGUGGCUAGCAUUUCUGCCUCUCAUGACAAUUGUCACCGUGAUCGCAGGAGACCGGGGUUCAAUUCCCCGUUCCGGAA